GCCUGAUCAAGGCUCACCACAGCCUCAACCUUCUUGGCUCAAGUGAUCAUCUCACCUCAGCCUCCAGAGUAGCUGAAGUACAGCUAUGAGUUCCUUAACAGCAGGUUUGUCAGGAGUUCCUAAGACUAUCCCCAGGUUCAGUGAUUCACUUGAAGGACUCACAGGACUCACCAUUGAGUUGCAGCACAGGGAAAAGACACACGGAGAGAAGUUUGGAAGAAACCAGCACUUCUCCCGAUGUUACAGCUCCUCUACAAUCAACAGCGGAAUGAGAGGGGAGAAAAAAAUCAUACCAGUCUCAUGAGAGCUAAAAUGACCCUCCCAAGAUGAAAGAGCAAGCUACAAGAGAACCAAGGUCUCCAGACUCUAGCGUCUCCCCAGUGAUAGCACAGCCAUUAUUCCUCAGGAAAAGAAAACCAUGAACAGCAUCUGGAGAGGUCAAUCACUUCCACAACCACCCUGCCUGUCCCUUCUGAGAAGGGACCAAAUCCUACCAUUCCAGAGCAAGGCUGCUCAUGUGUAAUCUCCGGAGUCCUUUCUGGAUCUUCUCUAUGACUUAAUCCAAACAGUGAGACAUCUGUUUGAAUUCCACCAUUCCACAACAUACCUAACCCUCAACAGGACUCGCUUUUAGAAAAUGGUUUCAAAGUAACUUAAGUUCCACACUGUGAAUCUACAUUUUCUGGCUAUUUAUAAAUUUGUUGCCAGUUGCCUCAAGUUUACUUUAAUCAACUGUAAUAGACCAAAAUAUAUAAGUUAAGCCUACGACAUCCUCCCCUAUGAUGCAGUCAAUGUUAGGGGUAUUUUAGUGAGCUCAGUUUUUUUUUUUUAAGAGAUGGGUCUCACUAUGUUGCCCAGGCUGGUCUCGAACUCCUGGUCUUAUGGGAUCCUCCCACCUUGGCCUCCCAAAGUGCUGGGAUUACAGGCGUGAGCCACCGCACCCCGCCAGUGAGCACAGCUGACAACAAGCUGCUUUUCAGGUCCGUGAUAAAAGGAAAAUAUUAUAAGAUUAAUGAGAUUUACUAAUUAGAUAUACUCGCUGAUAAUGUGUUUUAUUUUAAUGAAAAGCCAUGAGAUUUAUAAGUACCCUCCUCUGCAUCAAAACAAUAAACCUGAAAUCCUAAAG
rnacentral:lncRNA from 1 species